UUUAAGAACACUGAUGUGACUUACGUUCUAACUGUUCCUGCUAUUUGGGAUGACAUGGCUAAAAGAUUUAUGCGAGAAGCAGCGGUUGAGGCUGGGAUUCCAAAUGAUCAGCUAGUAAUAGCACUCGAGCCCGAGGCAGCGUCAGUCUGGUGUCAGGGAAUAAAAACAGAAAUCCAACGUUGCAAUGAAACGAACGCCUUUGGAAUUUCAGCUGUGGGCACACGUUAUAUGAUUGUUGAUUUAGGAGGUAAAAUAGUUUUAAAUUGAUAAGAAUGUAAAGUAUAAUGCUGAUAAAGAAAGAAUUAUAGUUUCUGAAACAAAAAAAAAACAAAACAA